rnacentral:lncRNA from 1 species
ACGAGUGGCAGUCGGCACAGAUACUCAUAACUGGCCGAAAUGCUGUGAGUUCUCAGUUCUAAAUGAGGCAUCGUUGUCAAUCCCCCUCCCUCCCCUGCUCCACGAGGCUCACAGCGUAUCACGGAAUAGAAAGUGGAAAUGAUGUGUGAGAUGCUGCCUUACCGACGUUACAUGGCAGUCGUGGUUUUCUACGUGAGUACUGCACAUGCAGAAGACUCUGCCAGCCAGGACUCCAGCGCCAGUGGGGGAGGGGCUGCCAAGGCCCCAUUCCUAACUGAGGAGGACUCCGUGCUGCAGGACCUCUACAACCACUGCGGAGGAGCAGACCUCUGCGCCCGUCCACGUGGGGACGUCUCCAGCACAGACACAGAGAGGAGAGGUGUGCUGAGAUGUGAUGUGUGAUGUUCUCUGUGCAGACUUUAGCCUCACAAACCAUCUCACUACGAACGCAUUCUAUAAGACAGCUUCUGGGACGAGGCCAAGCAGAUAAGAGCGGUUUUACCUCUGAGAAGAGGACAGAGAACAGCACGGGCGAUCUGGCAUUAGGAAAGACUACACUUUUUUUUAGAAAUGUAUAUUCCUGUUAAUCAUAAAAUUAGGUUUUUAUGCUUAAGAAAUUAAAUGCACAAUCAGUUCAUAAGCAAUUCAAUAAAUUCAAUAAAAUUGAAUGGCAAAG